GGCAUAUACAUAAGGUUGCCUUACUUUAAAAUAAGUGGCUAUCAUAGAAAAAGGUUAGUGAUUUAGCAUCAUUUGAAAUCUAUGAUUAAAGCCAUACGUUAUAUUUAGGCGGUAAAAUAGAAGUUAUACAAACGAAGUUCUGUAUACAUGGUUAACUGAAUAAAUGCCUUUAGAAAUCUGAGCCUUCACAGGGAGUCUGGC